rnacentral:lncRNA from 1 species
AUAUAAAAUUAAAUAAACAUUUAUCAUCAUUAAAUAAUUCUUACCGACAGAUGUUAGUUGGGGGUAAGCCUGCUAGACUGGUUGUUGCAGCAACAUCAUUAGAAUGGGGACGUUAUUGAAAACGCUACAACUUUUGCCCCCGUCAAUGUCGAGAAAUAAAAGAGGGAAUCGCCUUUUCCAGCUGAGGAUGGUGUUAAAGUUGAGAGCUUAUUUAAAAGACUCAGAAAUAUUCACUGCUUCAAUUUCUUCGCAAUCCACCUUUGAAGUGGGCAACAAAAACUGUGCGAAUGAGAAACAACAAUGCCUUGUAGUUUUCACUUUUCAGUUUGGCAGCAUGAAAAUUACAGGAGAGGUGAAUAAAUUUGCCGGGACAAAAGACAUGAGAAAAAUUAUUGCCAUGAGAAAAAAGUUCUGAACUUUCUGAGAAAAAAAUGUGGCUGAAAACCCAUAAAAGUUAUAAGCAGUUGUUUGACCUUUUUUUUUUUUUUUCCAAUUUUUCAAUUAUUACUAUCUAUCUAUCUAUGUAGCAUAUAAUAUAUAGAUAUAGCUCUAAAAUCUAUCUCAGCAAUAAUUAGGAGUAUGUUGUGUUCUUAAAUUUGAUGUGUGGCAAAUGUAUGAAUAAUUCCAAGAAUUAGGAAUUUAUGUUGUGAUUUAUUCUAUGAUGCCAUAAUUUAUUAAUAUUGUAAUGAGACAAAAGACUUCUAAAAUUAAUAUAAAAUUUAUAAGUAGUAAGUGUAAAAUAAUUUGAGGGAAGGGCACAGGUCGGGUUUGGCUGGUUUCAACUCAAGCCGAACCCGAACUCAAUCAAUCGGGUUGAGAUUUUCUCAAUACGUAGCUGGUCUAAGCAUGAACAGAAACUGAGUCGAACCGCACCAGAAAUUUCGUCUCGGUUUGGCUUGGGUUCGUUGGUUUGGACAGAAAAAAGCAUCUCUAUAUCUAUCAAACAACAACCAACCCAACCAAAGAUUAAAAACAAGAAAUCUAAGUAAUUGAAAGGAAAAUAAUCAUAACUAAAGAGAAGAAGAAGGAGAAAACUGAAGUGAAAAAGAACAAAAGUUGGUGACGGAAGGAAGACGAUGGACAAUGGUGAAACUUGACAUACGAUAGAGGAAAGAGGCAUGGCUUAUGGCGGCAACAUCUUUAACUUUUAUAGGGUUUUUUUAAUUUUAAUUAGGUUUAGAUAGGUAACCAUAGGGUGUAGAUGAUUCUAUUGUAACUUUAGCAAGCAAUUAAUAAAAGCUCGACACGUGGCUUAAAAUGCAGGAAAAUAUGAAAAAACUUUAAAACCAUGAGUUUUGAUAGUAUUAUGAAAUUAAAUUUGAAAACCGCACGAUUUUAAAAUUUUCUCGAAUUUUUCCGUACUUUAAAAUUCUGAAUUGAAAAAAUCUUUUAUAUUUGUUGUGUGUGUGUAGUUAGUUUGGUCAUGUUUAGUCGGUUUGCAAUUUUUUAAAUAGAUUCCAAAUCGAAGACAUUCGGGUUCAACUUUUAUAAACCGUGGUCCAAUCCGAAUAAAAUAGAUACCAACCCAAUCAAUUGGAAUUGAUCGGAUCGAAAUAGAUCGAUCGGGUUUGGUUAAAAUCCUCAACCCUAAAAAUAAAACAUAAAUUAUAUAAAUGGAACAUAAGACUUGUAAAUAGAAUAUAAACUAAGUAAAUUAAUAUAGGAGUAGUAAUUAUUGUAUUAUUAUUGGUAAAAAACAAGAACUUACAAUUGUAACAUAAAGCUUGUAAAUCAACAUAACGUGUAAAAUAAACAUAAAUUAUGUAAAUGGAACAUAAGCCUUAUACAAAAAAAAGAUAAGUGGUAAAUUUGUGUAUUAAUAGUAAACAAAAAAAGGCUGCAAAUGUAGCGUAAAAAUUAUAAAUUAAAUUAAAUGCAAGAUAACACAUAAAUUAAGUAAAUAGAAUAUAAAACUUAUAAAUUGAAGGUAAAAUUAAUUAAUUAAUAAAUGGGUGAUGAAUUGGCCUUAAGAUUUGUGAAAAACUUUAAAAAAAUAAUAUAAAACUUGUAAAUCACAUUAGGUAUAAAAUGAAACAUAAAUUUUGGAAAUCACACAUAAGAAUAGCAUGUGCAAGGUAAAACAAUUAAGUUAAUAUAGAAGUAGCGAAUUGGUCCUUAAAAUAUAUAUUUAGACAAUAAAGACUUGGAAAAAUGAAAGAAAAAUAUUAGAUUAAUA